rnacentral:rRNA from 1 species
AUUGAACGCUGGCGGCAUGCCUUACACAUGCAAGUCGAACGGCAGCACGGGAGCAAUCCUGGUGGCGAGUGGCGAACGGGUGAGUAAUGUAUCGGAACGUACCUUUCAGUGGGGGAUAACGUAGCGAAAGUUACGCUAAUACCGCAUAUUCUGUGAGCAGGAAAGCAGGGGAUCGCAAGACCUUGCGCUGAUUGAGCGGCCGAUAUCAGAUUAGCUAGUUGGUGAGGUAAAGGCUCACCAAGGCGACGAUCUGUAGCGGGUCUGAGAGGAUGAUCCGCCACACUGGAACUGAGACACGGUCCAGACUCCUACGGGAGGCAGCAGUGGGGAAUUUUGGACAAUGGGCGCAAGCCUGAUCCAGCCAUGCCGCGUGAGUGAAGAAGGCCUGUGUAG